rnacentral:rRNA from 1 species
AACGAACGCUGGCGGUAUGCUUAACACAUGCAAGUCGAACGGACAAACCUGGAGCUUGCUUCAGGUAUUGUUAGUGGCAAACGGGUGAGUAACACGUGGGAAUCUACCCAUCAGUACGGAAUAACAUUUGGAAACAGAUGCUAAUACCGUAUAUUCUCUAAGGAGGAAAGAUUUAUCGCUGAUGGAUGAGCCCGCGUAAGAUUAGGUAGUUGGUAGGGUAAUGGCCUACCAAGCCUACGAUCUUUAGCUGGUCUGAGAGGAUGAUCAGCCACACUGGGACUGAGACACGGCCCAGACUCCUACGGGAGGCAGCAGUGGGGAAUAUUGGACAAUGGGCGAAAGCCUGAUCCAGCAAUACCGCGUGAAUGAUGAAGGCCUUAGGGUUGUAAAGUUCUUUUAGUAUGGAAGAUAAUGACGGUACAUACAGAAAAAGCCCCGGCUAACUCCGUGCCAGCCGCCGCAGUAA